GAUGAACGCUGGCGGCGUGCCUAAUACAUGCAAGUCGAGCGAAUGGAUUAAGAGCCUGCUCUUAUGAAGUUAGCGGCGGACGGGUGAGUAACACGUGGGUAACCUGCCCAUAAGACUGGGAUAACUCCGGGAAACCGGGGCUAAUACCGGAUAACAUUUUGAACCGCAUGGUUCGAAAUUGAAAGGCGGCUUCGGCUGUCACUUAUGGAUGGACCCGCGUCGCAUUAGCUAGUUGGUGAGGUAACGGCUCACCAAGGCAACGAUGCGUAGCCGACCUGAGAGGGUGAUCGGCCACACGGGGACGGGAACACGGCCCAGACUCCUACGGGAGGCAGCAGUAGGGAAGCUUCCGCAAUGGACGAAAGUCUGACGGAGCAACGCCGCGUGAGUGAUGAAGGCUUUCGGGUCGUAAAACUCUGUUGUUAGGGAAGAACAAGUGCUGGUUGAAUAAGCUGGCACCUUGACGGUACCUAACCAGAAAGCCACGGCUAACUACGUGCCAGCCGCCGCGGUAA
rnacentral:rRNA from 1 species